CCUGUGGCAGCAUGGUUGCCUUUUGGCCUUGUCUGCUUGCUGGUUGGCACAUGUUCCUUGCACUAAGGAGCCCCCUGUCUGCCUCUCUGCCUCAGGUGAACUGGUGUCAGGUUUGUUAGGGUUUGUCUUUAUCAAAUAUUGUUCAUUCAUUGCUGAGAUGUGGAGAUAUUUUAAAGGACCCAGCUUAUCUCUUGUAUUUAGUGUCUGGGCACUGGGACACAGUAGUUUGCACUUGUCUGUGAUUACUGUGAGUUCACAAGUGGUGUGCAAGUUGCACUGCUGGAACACACCCUUUCAUGUCAGGCUGCCUCCCCUCUGCUGGCACCCCUCACUUCCAUUUUGCUUUUUUGAAAUGACCUUUGAUUGGAAGUGUCCUAUCUGAACUGACUAAUUUACCUCCUUACAGCAAUAACUAACCAUCCUCUCUUCCCAGAUACUUCCAGUCUAAAUAAAGAAACUUGCAAUGUCUUUUGGAACCACGUCUCUGUCUCAAUAAAGGUGUUGAACCUG